GGGGGAUAUUGCACAAUGGAGGAAACUCUGAUGCAGCAACGCCGCGUGAGGGAAGAAGGUCUUCGGAUUGUAAACCUUUGUCCUUGGUGACGAAACAAAUGACGGUAGCCAAGGAGGAAGCUCCGGCUAACUACGUGCCAGCAGCCGCGGUAAUACGUAGGGAGCAAGCGUUGUCCGGAUUUACUGGGUGUAAAGGGUGCGUAGGCGGCUCUGCAAGUCAGGUGUGAAAACCAUCGGCUUAACUGAUGGACUGCAUUUGAAACUGUGGGGCUUGAGUGAAGUAGAGGUAGGCGGAAUUCCCGGUGUAGCGGUGAAAUGCGUAGAGAUCGGGAGGAACACCAGUGGCGAAGGCGGCCUACUGGGCUUUAACUGACGCUGAAGCACGAAAGCAUGGGUAGCAAAC
rnacentral:rRNA from 1 species